rnacentral:rRNA from 1 species
CAAUAGCGUGUAUUAAAGUUGUUGCAGUUAAAAAGCUCGUAGUUGGAUUUCUGGUGGGAGCGAUCGGUCUGGCGCUUAGCGCGAGUACUUGCAUCGUCUCCGGCCAUCCUUGGGGAGAGUCUGUCUGGCAUUAGGUUGUCGGGCAGAGGAUCCUCAUCGUUUACUGUGAAAAAAUUAGAGUGUUCAAAGCAGGCUUAUGCCGUUGAAUAUAUUAGCAUGGAAUAAUAAGAUAGGACUUUGGUACUAUUUUGUUGGUUUGCGCACCAAAGUAAUGAUUAAUAGGGACAGUUGGGGGCAUUCGUAUUCCGUUGUCAGAGGUGAAAUUCUUGGAUUUACGGAAGACGAACAUCUGCGAAAGCAUUUGCCAAGGAUGUUUUCAUUGA